AGAGUUUGAUCAUGGCUCAGGAUGAACGCUAGCUACAGGCUUAACACAUGCAAGUCGAGGGGAAACGACAUCGAAAGCUUGCUUUUGAUGGGCGUCGACCGGCGCACGGGUGAGUAACGCGUAUCCAACCUGCCCACCACUUGGGGAUAACCUUGCGAAAGUAAGACUAAUACCCAAUGACGUCUCUAGGAGACAUCUGAAGGAGAUUAAAGAUUUAUCGGUGAUGGAUGGGGAUGCGUCUGAUUAGCUUGUUGGCGGGUAACGGCCACCAAGGCGACGAUCAGUAGGGGUUCUGAGAGGAAGGUCCCCCANAUUGGAACUGAGACACGGUCCAAACUCCUACGGGAGGCA
rnacentral:rRNA from 1 species